CGGAUGUUUUCAUGCAAGACUGCUUAUUCUCAGAUUUGAUUAUCAAAUUCACUAAGCAGGAUCUCUCGCAUACGUACAUUAUAUGAAGCUUUGUCCCACUGACUUGUUUCCCUCACACUUAAUAAUUAUAAAAAUGAGUUAAUAACCAUGGACACACAGAAAGCAGUGUGAAAGGGAGACUGAGGAAAAAGCGAAUAGACAUCUAGCAAAGGAAUAUGGAAGAGUGGCUCCACCAUGUGUGAUGUUACGGAAGCAUGUGAGGAUUUUUUUGGCUGUCCUCGGAAAACCAUGCUAAGGAAAAAGAUAAGGAUAAAUUGAUCCACCCCUUCACAAUAUGGAAGGGAUAUUCUCUGAAUUAAGUUGCUCUCCAAUAUAUUGCUGCAUGCUGGCGGACACCGAGUUUUAAUUAAUCCAAAGGUGGAUGAGAUUGUGACCGUUUAAUAUCAAGUAACCACUCAUUCUCAGCCUUGCUGAAGGCUACAAGGUAUUAUCUGCAAUCUCUUCAUUUAAAGAAAAGGACACUCUACAAAUGUCUCUCUUGGUCAUGACUAGUUUCUCAAUCUGUUCUCAUAUCCUCCCAAUUUGUUACUUAAUUUUGUUACGAACUCUCC
rnacentral:lncRNA from 1 species